AACGAACGCUGGCGGCAUGCCUAACACAUGCAAGUCGAACGAGACCUUCGGGUCUAGUGGCGCACGGGAGCGUAACGCGUGGGAACCUGCCCUUAGGUUCGGAAUAACUCCCCGAAAGGGGUGCUAAUACCGGAUAAUGUCUUCGGACCAAAGAUUUAUCGCCUUUGGAUGGGCCCGCGUUGGAUUAGCUAGUUGGUAGGGUAAAAGCCUACCAAGGCGACGAUCCAUAGCUGGUCUGAGAGGAUGAUCAGCCACACUGGGACUGAGACACGGCCCAGACUCCUACGGGAGGCAGCAGUGGGGAAUAUUGGACAAUGGGCGAAAGCCUGAUCCAGCAAUGCCGCGUGAGUGAUGAAGGCCUUAGGGUUGUAAAGCUCUUUUACCCGGGAUGAUAAUGACAGUACCGGGAGAAUAAGCUCCGGCUAACUCCGUG
rnacentral:rRNA from 1 species